rnacentral:rRNA from 1 species
GACGAACGCUGGCGGCGUGCUUAACACAUGCAAGUCGAACGGUGAACCUCUUCGGUGGGGGUCAGUGGCGAACGGGUGAGUAACACGUGGGCAACAUGAACCCGGCUCUGGGAUAACUCUAAGAAAUUGGGGCUAAUACCGGAUGUUCACCGCUUCCCGUACGGGUGGUGGUGGAAAGGGUUUCCGGCUGGGGAUGGGCCCGCGGCCUAUCAGCUUGUUGGUGGGGUAGUGGCCUACCAAGGCGACGACGGGUAGCCGGCCUGAGAGGGUGACCGGCCACACUGGGACUGAGACACGGCCCAGACUCCUACGGGAGGCAGCAGUGGGGAAUAUUGCGCAAUGGGCGGAAGCCUGACGCAGCGACGCCGCGUGGGGGAUGACGGCCUUCGGGUUGUAAACCGCUUUCAGCAGGGACGAAGCGCGAGUGACGGUACCUGCAGAAGAAGCACCGGCCAACUACGUG